rnacentral:misc_RNA from 1 species
GAGACAAGCAUAUGACUACUGGCAGGAUCAACCAGGUAGCAUUCCUCCACGACGCCGCGCGCCGCCCUUGCGCCGCCGGGGGCGGUCCUCAAGGUGCGAGCGCAGCCGUCACACGUUUUAUAUCGAAGCUCCUCUUAGGACAGGGGAACGAGUCCCCGUCCACGGCGUGCGCUGGGUCCAAGAGCAUUGCACUUCCCCGUGGGCCAAGCGACCGAAGAAGGUCUCGCUGGAACACGGGGGGUGCUUCGCUGUCCUCCCGCGCCCGAUAAAGGGCGCCGGACUGGAGGAUAAGUGAAAUUGGCCUUGCUUCCCUCGAGGUGGGUAGGCGGUCACCAAGAACCAGCCUCUGAGGCGCCAUCCCACCCCACGACAACCGACGCGGAUUGCCUGCCGAUGCAGUUCGGUGGACGGAGCACGGAGCCAGCCGGCAGAGACAAUCCAAACACCACCCAC